rnacentral:tRNA from 1 species
UAGCUUAGCUGGUAAAGAAUCUGCCUGCAAUGCAGGAGACCCCGGUUCGAUUCCUGG